CCUCUCUACCCGAUUCCCCUGGUCGCCUCCCCCCCCCACGCCCAUCGCCGCCAGCCCGAAACCCUAGCUCCCUCCCUCGCGCGCUCAGAUCCGACCACCCUCCCUCACUCUUCGCACUCAGAUCCGCCCUCCCUCCCUCACUCUUCGCGCUGGAAACCCUAGCUGCCGGGCCAUGGUGACAGACGGCGACGACGACGGCGGUGGCUACCUUGACGACGACGGUGCGGCCAGCAGCAGAAGCACCACCAUGCCCUCCCUUCCUCCAACCCUAGCGAUCCGGCCAUGUUGGCGGCAGCCAGAUCCGCGCCGGGACAGGACCUGCUUGUGCUCAUGAGGAGAGGCACGCGAUGGAGCAGCUCGUCAAGGACAUGUCCAACCCUUCCCUUCCCUUCGUUCUAUGCAGUUAAUCCAAGGGUUAUAUGUUCUAUAUUGGAGUACUUUGCAUUCAAAUUAUUUCCUGUGUUAUAUUAUGAGUUUGAUGUUCUUAAAAUAUGUAUUCUCAAUAAUAGUACAAAAUACAUGUCUAUGCUCCCAUGGAUCCAGGAAGUAUAAGAUGAACUCGAUAAUCUCCAAUUGGUUUCAUUAUUGUUGUCCCGGUCCUCAUGAGCGGAUAAUCUUUAUACAACGAGUAGAUGGGGGUACAUGGUUUGGGUUGCUCUACAGAACUGAAAUAGUUUUCCGAUUACACACUUUAUCAGAACCGAGACACGGGUAGGCUCUGGGUUGUGCCAUCACAUUAGUGAAAAUAGAUGUACAAUGCCAAUUAGUAUUUUGUUUGUUGCUUCAUCAUCCCUCACAGACUUUCAGGUUUGGUAUUCCUGCUUCUAUGAUAUACUUAAUGAUUGAGGAAGGAUCUAUGCGAUCGAAACAGAUGCCUUGUUCUCAUCAUGAUACGCUGUGAGCCAACACAUUUUUUCUCUUGGCCGACUUGCUGCUUGCAUACAUGACAGAUAUGCAUCCAUGGUGAAGUUACUAUAUAAGUAUAGGGUCAAGCACUGCCCCGACAUACAUCCUAUUUUGUGUUUUUCCUCAAAGUCCCAUGGCCAUGUUGCUGGUAGAGUUGGAAGCACCGCCCUUGAUUUUGAAAUUGGAGAAGGAAGAUGGAUAACAGAGUUCAGUACAGUAAGGAUGCUCUACAAUAUAGGAAUCCAGACAAGGAUGAUGAGCAAUACACGACCCCAUGGCCGAGCCGACGACCAACCACCAGGGAAGUGGACAUGUGAAUAAGGGACGGAGUAGCAACGUUGAUUGGUUGCACGGAGCUACAGUCAACCUGAUGUGGUGUUUUAAUCUCCUUGACAUAGAGAGUAGUUGUGUGUGGUUUCCUUUCGAGUAGCAUAGUUGGAGUUUAGCAUGUGUGUGUAGAGCUGAUGGUUGUGAGGCUAAUUCCGAGAGUAGUACAUGACUGGAAGAUGCCCAGCUAGAUGUGAUACUUUGUGAUGGUUUAAUAUACUUUGUGAUCUCAUAUGCAACACUUUGUGAUACCCUAUGAUAUAUAUAUAUGGACAUUUGCUAUGGUUUGUUUUGUUUCUAUGGAACAUUGUU